UCGAGAGGCUUCUACAAUGGGGGAAACCCUGAUAGAGCGACGCCGCGUGGGUGAUGAAGGUCUUCGGAUCGUAAAGCCCUUUCAGCAAGGACGAAUGUUUGAGUGAUAAUACCACUCAAUGCAAGACGGUACUUGCAGAAGAAGCUCCGGCUAACUCCGUGCCAGCAGCCGCGGUAAGACGGAGGGAGCAAGCGUUGUUCGGAUUUACUGGGCGUAAAGGGCGUCUAGGCGGAUUAGUCAGUCAGAUGUGAAACCCCCCGGCUCAACCGGGGACCUGCAUUUGAUACUACUGGUCUUGAGUACGAAAGAGGAAAGCGGAAUUCCUGGUGUAGCGGUGAAAUGCGUAGAUAUCAGGAAGAACACCGGUGGCGAAGGCGGCUUUCUGGUUCGAUACUGACGCUAAAGCGCGAAAGUGUGGGGAGCAAACAGG
rnacentral:rRNA from 1 species